rnacentral:rRNA from 12 species
GCCACACUGGGACUGAGACACGGCCCAGACUCCUACGGGAGGCAGCAGUGGGGAAUAUUGCACAAUGGGCGAAAGCCUGAUGCAGCGACGCCGCGUGAGGGAUGACGGCCUUCGGGUUGUAAACCUCUUUCAGCAGGGACGAAGCGCAAGUGACGGUACCUGCAGAAGAAGCACCGGCUAACUACGUGCCAGCAGCCGCGGUAAUACGUAGGGUGCAAGCGUUGUCCGGAAUUACUGGGCGUAAAGAGUUCGUAGGCGGUUUGUCGCGUCGUUUGUGAAAACCAGCAGCUCAACUGCUGGCUUGCAGGCGAUACGGGCAGACUUGAGUACUGCAGGGGAGACUGGAAUUCCUGGUGUAGCGGUGAAAUGCGCAGAUAUCAGGAGGAACACCGGUGGCGAAGGCGGGUCUCUGGGCAGUAACUGACGCUGAGGAACGAAAGCGUGGGUAGCGAACAGGAUUAGAUACCCUGGUAGUCC